rnacentral:rRNA from 1 species
ACUCCUACGGGAGGCAGCAGUAGGGAAUAUUGGACAAUGGGCGAAAGCCUGAUCCAGCAAUGCCGCGUGAGUGAUGAAGGCCUUAGGGUUGUAAAGCUCUUUUACCCGGGAUGAUAAUGACAGUACCGGGAGAAUAAGCUCCGGCUAACUCCGUGCCAGCAGCCGCGGGUAAUACGGAGGGAGCUAGCGUUGUUCGGAAUUACUGGGCGUAAAGCGCACGUAGGCGGCUAUUCAAGUCAGAGGUGAAAGCCCGGGGCUCAACCCCGGAACUGCCUUUGAAACUAGAUAGCUUGAAUCCAGGAGAGGUGAGUGGAAUUCCGAGUGUAGAGGUGAAAUUCGUAGAUAUUCGGAAGAACACCGAGUGGCGAAGGCGGCUCACUGGACUGGUAUUGACGCUGAGGUGCGAAAGCGUGGGAGCAAACAGGAUUAGAUACCCUGGUAGGAUAGCG